rnacentral:rRNA from 1 species
CAGCAGCCGCGGGAAUACGAAGGGUGCAAGCGUUAAUCGGAAUUACUGGGCGUAAAGCGUGCGUAGGCGGUGAGUUAAGUCUGCUGUGAAAUCCCCGGGCCCAACCUGGGAAUUGCAGUGGAUACUGGAUCACUAGAGUGUGGUAGAGGAUAGUGGAAUUUCCGGUGUAGCAGUGAAAUGCGUAGAGAUCGGGAGGAACAUCAGUGGCGAAGGCGGCCAUCUGGGACAACACUGACGCUGAGGCACGAAAGCGUGGGGAGCAAACAGGAUUAGAUACCCCAGUAGUCCCUGUCUCUUAUAC